AUGUCUUUUGUGAAGGAUAAGGUGCUAUUUAGCCAUCAGUUGUGGCUAUUAAGAUCUUUGGAGCCUCAUUCUUUCUUCAAUGCAGAGGUGGAGCUAACAGGCAACUGUAAGCAGGAAGACACAGCACAUUCCCAUAGGAAAACCAUUUCCUGCUGAGCAAUCAAGCCACCUAAUUCAUAUUUUUUCUACAGCAAGCAUGAAGGAACAUACCCGUGCAACUUUAUCCAGAACAGUCCAUUGUUCUCCUCUAACAUGAGGACUCAGAUACUCAGAAGGAUGCCUCAGAGAUAACAAUCUAAAGAAGAUUCACUUUGCCUUUGGAUGGAAACUGUCUGCUGGAAAGACAGAGCUGCGCUGUGAAGGAGAGUGAAGCUAAGGCACGCUUAACAACGGCAAGCUCAAGUCAGAGUUACGGAGCAAGAUCAGUCCCUGGGGUACAGAGAGAGAUACAUAGCAUCUGACCUACCCUGGAAGACUGACAAGGCUGAUCCCAUCUCAGCAGAAUCUGAAUCGAGAAUAUGGCAGAAUAUCAUUGCUUUUGCCAGAACAACCAGAUGAAGAACAAAAAGUGAAUGUGUUCCAUUCCCUCAUGAGGCUUCUGAAGCUUUCCUUAUGAUCUGAUCACAACAAAGGAGACAGGCAACCGACAAAUAGCACGCUGGUCCUGAAACACCGCUGGCAUCUUUGUUAUCAGCCUUCCUGGCCCUUAGAGAGAGAUCUGCUUUCAGCGCUCCAGCAAGGAACAGACACAAAACUUCAGCCUCUCUCUUAAUAAGUCCUUGAUUUACUUGUCUCAAGGUAAGAGGACAGUGGUGGUAGGUUGAGAUUUUUCAGGGUUUGGAGUGGUGGCUCUCCAGCUCUUGUGUGUGGAUUACUAGGGUAAGCCCAGAAGCAAGGAGUUUUAAACCAGCACCCCAGAUGAUUUAGAUGAAGAUGCCCCCAGGCCACCGCAGGUGAGCAUCUUCAUAGGAUUAUCAGCUCGAAACCAGUUGUGCCUAUUUCCUGCUGGGAAACCUGGGGAGCUGGGAAAAGCAGAAAAUUUAUCAAGCUCUGGUAAGAGUGAACUAAUUAUAACUGCUAAAGUGUUGGUUGGAUGCGGGAAAAUGUUUCCUUGGUGGGCUUGUGAGUACCUGGAAAAUUUCAGGAGUGGCAGUGUACCUACUUCUCUGGAAUUUCCUGAAAAAUGGGAUCCUAAAAAUAGGCUGAGAAUUGGCCCAUGCGUCCUUUUUUUUUCCUUAAAUCACCUGUUAAGUC